rnacentral:rRNA from 1 species
GAGAACGGAAUCUAGCUUGCUAGAUUUGUCAGCUAAGUGGCGCACGGGUGAGUAAUAUAUAGUUAAUCUGCCCCAAAGAAGAGAAUAAUUGUUGGAAACGACUUGUAAUGCUCUAUAUGCCUUUAUCACAAAAGUGAGCAAGGGAAAUAUUUAUAGCUUUGGGAUGAGACUGUACGGUAUCAGCUAGUUGGUGAGGUAAUGGCUCACCAAGGCAAUGACAUCUAACUGGUUUGAGAGGAUGAUCAGUCACACUGGAACUGAGACACGGUCCAGACUCCUACGGGAGGCAGCAGUGGGGAAUAUUGCACAAUGGAGGAAACUCUGAUGCAGCAACGCCGCGUGGAGGAUGACACAUUUCGGUGCGUAAACUCCUUUUAUUAGGGAAGAUAAUGACGGUACCUAAUGAAUAAGCACCGGCUAACUCCGUGCCAGCAGCCGCGGUAAUACGGGGGGUGCAAGCGUUACUCGGAAUCACUGGGCGUAAAGAGCAUGUAGGCUGGUUUGUAAGUUGGAAGUGAAAUCCUAUGGCUCAACCAUAGAACUGCUUCCAAAACUGCUUACCUAGAGUAUGGGAGAGGUAGAUGGAAUUUCUG